GAGGGUAUAACUCAGUGGUAGACGGCAUGCCUAGCAUGUGUGAGGUCCUGGGUUCAAUCCCCAGUACCUCCA
rfam:Camelus ferus unplaced genomic scaffold scaffold724, whole genome shotgun sequence.